CACUACUGGUCCGGUAUUGUAUUAGGAUUGGGAGUUCAUUUUGCAGCAGUUUUUUGUGCUGAGUUGCUAAUUCUAUCUAGUUGCACUGAUAGUUAAGCUUGUUAUGGAUGAAAAGGUGAAGAGGUCAAAGGGGUAUGCUUUUAUUCAGUACACUAGUCAAGACGAUGCCCUGCUAGCUCUAGAAAGCAUGGAUCAUAAGGGACGGCUUAAAAAUGGGAAUAUUGCUGUUAUAAGGUUCUUUCACCUGAAUCAAGUCAAGGAGUAAAGGAGUUCUUGACAGAGAUUAGAGUGAUUUCAGAUAUAGAGCACCAAAAUUUAGUCAAGCUCUAUGGCUGUUGCGUGGAUGAAGAUCAUAGAAUUCUGUUCUACAACUACCUUGAGAAUAACAGCCUUGUGCAAACACUUAUUGGUUUUUUGCGGCUUUGGGAUCAAACAACACAGGAAUAUGAGAGAGGGCAAAAAAGCUAAUUGGGCUUUGUUUUAAAGUUGUCAUUGAUCAAUAGAGGCUGCUACCAGAUCCUCUUUUUGGCUGGUGGCUGAUGCUGCUGCUUGCUGGUCUACUGCAGCUGUUGGUCUGCUGCUGCUGCUGCCCUGGUGGCUAAUGCUUGCUGGGCCGCCGCUGCUGCUGCAAUGUUGCUGUGACGCGGCUGCUACUGGAUGCUGGUCUGCUGCAUAAGUUUGUGGGUGAUUUGUCGUGCCGUUUUGCCUAUCUUUGUUAGUUUCAUGUUUUCAUUUUGUUAUCUGAUGUUUCUACUGUGGGUUCACAAUUUGGAUGUAUUUGGGUAUUUUAGUGAGUUUACUCUUUCAAGUUUUAUAUUCUAAAAGCUGUCUCAGUAGUGUUUUUUUGCCUGCACAUCAACUUUAGAUGAUUUUCUAUCAAUGUUAUUAGUUUGUAAUAGUGGUGCUUGAGGGAUGCCUCUUGUA